GCUUUUUGCUGCUGCCUUUUUGAGGAAAAUGAGGGUCUUAUUUAUUUAUUUCUCCAUUUAUUAAUACAGUAUCUGCAAAGCACCUGCAAUGGCAGCCUCUUCGACAGCCUGACUGGCACCCUGGUUUCUAUGGCAACUGGAGAAAAGGGAACUUAGUGCAAUGAAAGCGGUGAAUGCCUCAGCUUUACUGGUAGCAGGGGAAAAAAUAAAGGAGGCCUCAUUUACAUUCUGGGAUACCUUUCAUUUUGGGUAUAUAAAUGUCCUGAUAGAUAUCAGCAAAGAGCAGAUGGCUUCACAAAAGACGUUUGAAAGCUGCCUCCCUCCUGCCAGAAGCUUUUCACACUCUCACUUUGUCUGGCUUCAGUGGGAUUCCUCAGUGGGAGAGAGCUCUCUCUGUGCCUGUCCUGCUGCUGGUUGAAGAAGACUCACACAAGCAGUUCUGCAGUGAUCAGAGCAUUUGCUCAAUUCCAGGGUCUACAGCCCUUUAGGAAGACCACCUCCCAGUAACUACCUUUGGAAAGAUCUAUAUUCAGAGCAUUUGAGCUGGAUAGACAACUGGAGUAUGUGUUGGCAGUGCCUAAGCUGCAGGGGAUGGCUCUCAGCAUAUCACUGGAGCUCAGGGACUCCAGCAGGGCAGCCUCGAGUCAUUGAUGUGGCAGCAGAGCAAGGGCGGAAUGGUCACACAGAAGUGGCUGGAAGUUUUUUGGUAUGACUGCUGGUGAGAGUGGAUUUUUAACAGGUUGACCCAGGUCCAGGCAUAAUCCAGUCUGGUCCAGUCCAAAUCCAAUCUGCUCCUGUCCUCACCAAAUGAACUGUGACAGAUGGCAGAGAUCUCACAAUGCCUCUCCCAGUUAGAGGAUCUUUCUGGGUCAUGACACUAAGCAGAGAGACACUGGAGUCUAGAAAAUAUAAGUGUGCAAAAAAAAACCAAAACACCCAAACCCAAAGCCUGGAGGACUUUUUGGUCAUACUCACUGUGUGAUGAAGCAAACUGCUAAAACCAGACUUAGCCCUGUUAUUUAUGUUUUUUGGGGGAAAACAAAAUAAUCUUUUCUGCCUGCUUGUGCUGUAAACAAGGAUUUUUCAAAGAUUUUUCAUUUUUAUGUUGCAAUGCUCCAAAUAUUAACAGACAUAGUACCACCAUUAUUUUAUAUGUUUCAGAUAGCUUUUACUAAAUUUUGCAAUUGCAGAACUUUGAUUUUAGUGCAUGAGCACCACAGGUCAACUGUCCUAUUUGGCAAAUAACUGCAAUGAUAUUCAAGCAGUUAAGUAUUUGCCCAACUCUUCUACUGCUACAACAAUAGGAAAACAGCAUAAUACAAGUGUUGAUGGACUAAUUGGAGGGAUUUUUUUUUUCUGGAGAAAGAAGAAUAUUUUUUGGUAAGAUAUUACUAGUAGAAGGAACUCAUUACUCUCAUUCUUGAAAAUUGUAGCUCUAAACAGCUACAAAAUAUGCUCUAAAAAGAAAGAAAGAAAACCACUUUUUCUUUGCUCUAAACAGGAAGGAUUUUUCCUAAGACUUUGGGAGUUUAUGAAAAUAUUAAGAAGCUAGGGAAUAAUUAAUUUUUUUUUUUAAUUUAAACAUAUAUUGUCAUCAUCCAUGUAUUAAAUGAUGGGUCUUCUCAAUAAAGGCAGCCACAGGCACUCUGUUUAAAUAG
ensembl:lncRNA